AUGACGUGAGGUUAGGAUGACGUGAGGUUAGGAUGACGUGAGGUUAGGUUGACGUGAGGUUAGGUUGACGUGAGGUUAGGAUGACGUGAGGUUAGGAUGACGUGAGGUUAGGUUAACGUGAGGUUAGGUUAACGUGAGGUUAGGAUGACGUGAGGUUAGGAUGACGUGAGGUUAGGGAUGACGUGAGGUUAGGAUGACGUGAGGUUAGGUUGACGUGAGGUUAGGAUGACGUGAGGUUAGGGUUAACGUGAGGUUAGGAUGA